GACGAACGCUGGCGGCGUGCUUAACACAUGCAAGUCGAGCGAUGAAGCACCUUCGGGUGUGGAUUAGCGGCGAACGGGUGAGGAACACGUGAGGAAUCUGCCUUUCACUUCGGGAUAACUCCGGGAAACCGGGGCUAAUACCGGAUAUUUUCAACUGGCGGCAUCGCCGGUUGAAGAAAGUUUUUCGGUGAAAGAUGACCUCGCGGCCUAUCAGCUUGUUGGUGAGGUAAUGGCUCACCAAGGCGACGACGGGUAGCCGGCCUGAGAGGGCGACCGGCCACACUGGGACUGAGACACGGCCCAGACUCCUACGGGAGGCAGCAGUGGGGAAUAUUGGGCAAUGGAGGAAACUCUGACCCAGCGACGCCGCGUGAGGGAUGAAGGCCUUCGGGUUGUAAACCUCUUUCAGCAGGGAAUAAGCGAAAGUGAAGGUACCUGCAGAAGAAGCACCGGCUAACUAUGUGCCAGCAGCCGCCGUAA
rnacentral:rRNA from 1 species